rnacentral:rRNA from 1 species
UACGGGGGGGAGCAAGCGUUGUUCGGAUUUACUGGGCGUAAAGGGCGCGUAGGCGGUCAGCACAAGUCAGUUGUGAAAUCUCCGGGCUUAACUCGGAAAGGUCAACUGAUACUGUGCGACUAGAGUGCAGAAGGGGCAACUGGAAUUUACGGUGUAGCGGUGAAAUGCGUAGAUAUCGUAAGGAAGGCCAGUGGCGAAGGCGGGUCUCUGGACAGUUCCUGACGCUGAGGCACGAAGGUCAGGGGAGCAAACGGG